rnacentral:rRNA from 1 species
GACGAACGCUGGCGGCGUGCUUAACACAUGCAAGUCGAACGGAAAGGCCCUGCUUUUGUUGGGUGCUCGAGUGGCGAACGGGUGAGUAACACGUGAGUAACCUGCCCUUGACUUUGGGAUAACUUCAGGAAACUGGGGCUAAUACCGGAUAGGAGCUCCUGCUGCAUGGUGGGGGUUGGAAAGUUUCGGCGGUUGGGGAUGGACUCGCGGCUUAUCAGCUCGUUGGUGGGGUAGUGGCUUACCAAGGCUUUGACGGGUAGCCGGCCUGAGAGGGUGUGCGGCCACAUUGGGACUGAGAUACGGCCCAGACUCCUACGGGAGGGAGCAGUGGGGAAUAUUGCACAAUGGGCGGAAGCCUGAUGCAGCAACGCCGCGUGCGGGAUGAAGGCCUUCGGGUAGUAAACCGCUUUCGCCUGUGACGAAGCGUGAGUGACGGUAAUGGGUAAAGAAGCACCGGCUAACUACGUG